rnacentral:rRNA from 1 species
ACGAACGCUGGCGGCGUGCUUAACACAUGCAAGUCGAACGGACAGGCCCUGCUUUUGUGGGGUGCUCGAGUGGCGAACGGGUGAGUAACACGUGAGUAACCUGCCCUUGACUUUGGGAUAACUUCAGGAAACUGGGGCUAAUACCGGAUAGGAGCUCCUGCUGCAUGGGGGGGGUUGGAAAGUUUCGGCGGUUGGGGAUGGACUCGCGGCUUAUCAGCUUGUUGGUGGGGUAGUGGCUUACCAAGGCUUUGACGGGUAGCCGGCCUGAGAGGGUGACCGGCCACAUUGGGACUGAGAUACGGCCCAGACUCCUACGGGAGGCAGCAGUGGGGAAUAUUGCACAAUGGGCGGAAGCCUGAUGCAGCAACGCCGCGUGCGGGAUGACGGCCUUCGGGUUGUAAACCGCUUUCGCCUGUGACGAAGCGUGAGUGACGGUAAUGGGUAAAGAAGCACCGGCUAACUACGUG